AGCUGCUUCACCAUCGAUGUGCUGGACAUGUCAUAAACCUUAUUGUGAAAGAUGGGCUCAAGUUUGUUGAACCGAUUGUUGACAACAUCCGUGAAAGCAUCAAGUACCUUCGUUCUUCAACUUCCCGGAAACAAAUGUUUAGAGAAAUUGUUGCACGAGAAGGCAUUACAUGCAAGAAAAAGCCAUCACUGGAUGUGAUCACACGUUGGAACUCAACAUAUUUGAUGCUUAAAACAGCCCUAAAAUUUAGAAAAGCAUUUGAGGUGCUAAAAUCAGAGGACCAAAAAUACACAUACUUACCCUCCCCUGAAGAAUGGAAGAGUAUUGGUGUGAAAAAAGUUUUCUACUGCAGCAGUUGAUGAUUUCAUUAUGGAAGAGAAUGAACCAUGAAAUUCACAGGAGUGUUUCAUCUUGACGCCAGAGAAGCAACAAGAGGUAGCAGAAUAGUGACAAUGUAUUACUUUAGUAGCUUAUGAUGAUGCUAUUAGCUGACUUUGGUAUGGUUUUUUGUUAGCAUCUCUUGAAAUUGGAUUAGCCUAUUGGAGACAUGGAAAUUUGGUUUCCUGUUUCAUGGCUCUGUGAAGAUUUUUAUGUGCAAUUAAUUCUUUCAAAUAAAAUAGGCUUUUGUUA